AGACCUAAGAUGGAACAGCCUGUUCCUAAAGGACUGGACCCCGUGGAAGGGACCCAUACAGGAGCAGUUCAUGAAGAACUGUAGCCUGUGGGAAGGACUCAUGCUAGAAAAAUUCAUGGAGGACUAUCUCUUGUGGG